rnacentral:rRNA from 1 species
GGCUGUUCGCCAUUUAAAGUGGUACGCGAGCUGGGUUUAGAACGUCGUGAGACAGUUCGGUCCCUAUCUGCCGUGGGCGCUGGAGAACUGAGGGGGGCUGCUCCUAGUACGAGAGGACCGGAGUGGACGCAUCACUGGUGUUCGGGUUGUCAUGCCAAUGGCACUGCCCGGUAGCUAAAUGCGGAAGAGAUAAGUGCUGAAAGCAUCUAAGCACGAAACUUGCCCCGAGAUGAGUUCUCCCUGAGACUUAGAGUCUCCUGAAGGAACGUUGAAGACGACGACGUUGAUAGGCCGGGUGUGUAAGCGCAGCGAUGCGUUGAGCUAACCGGUACUAAUGAACCGUGAGGCUUAACCUUACAACGCCGAAGCUGUU